ACUCCUACGGGAGGCAGCAGUGGGGAAUAUUGCACAAUGGGCGAAAGCCUGAUGCAGCGACACCGCGUGCGGGAUGACGGCCUUCGGGUUGUAAACCGCUUUCAGGAGGGAAGAAAAUGACGGUACCUCCAGAAGAAGCUCCGGCCAACUACGUGCCAGCAGCCGCGGUAAUACGUAGGGAGCAAACGUUGUCCGGAUUUAUUGGGCGUAAAGGGCUCGUAGGCGGUUCAACAAGUCGGUCGUGAAAGCCCGGAGCUCAACUCCGGGACGCCGGUCGAAACUGUUGUGACUAGAGUUCGGUAGAGGUGAGUGGAAUUCUCGGUGUAGCGGUGGAAUGCGCAGAUAUCGAGAGGAACACCAUUAGCGAAGGCGGCUCACUGGGCCGAUACUGACGCUGAGGAGCGAAAGCUGGGGAGCAAACAGGAUUAGAUACCCUGGUAGCUACGAG
rnacentral:rRNA from 1 species